UACGUAGGUGGCAAGCGUUGUCCGGAUUUACUGGGUGUAAAGGGCGUGUAGCCGGGUGUGCAAGUCAGAUGUGAAAUCUGGAGGCUCAACCUCCAAACUGCAUUUGAAACUGUGCAUCUUGAGUAUCGGAGAGGUCAUCGGAAUUCCUUGUGUAGCGGUGAAAUGCGUAGAUAUAAGGAAGAACACCAGUGGCGAAGGCGGAUGACUGGACGACAACUGACGGUGAGGCGCGAAAGCGUGGGGAGCAAACAGG
rnacentral:rRNA from 1 species